UUUCUGUUGUGUGAUAACGUCGUCACCGUCCAAACUCUCUUGGCUCAAAUCAAGCCUUCACUUUCCAGCACCGUUGGUAAGAGGACCAAGAGGGAGGUCAUCGAGAAGCAGGUCAUCGGGCUCAAAUUGGAGGGUCCGAAGAUCAGAAUCGGAGCUCUGGUAGACGGCGGAGGUGGAACCUGCUACGUUGGGAGUAGCGGAGGAGCUCCGGUCAGGAAGGACUUGGUGUUCUAGCCUUUAUCAGAAGACUCCCAGAGGCUCUGGUGCUAGAAGCUCCUUGAAUUCAUUGAUUCUCUCGGACGGCUAAAGAGGCUGUCUGUUUUUGUGAAUCUGUUUGAAGGGAGCAAAUCGGCUUCAAAGAUUUUUGUUGAUGAAGUGAAGCCGCUUUUUGAUGAUGCUGGUGUUCAGUUUACACUGCAAGGUUUGAAAUCUUGUGCAUAAGAUAGUUAUUAUAUGUUGUUGAGCUUAGGAUUUUAGGUUGUAUUAUUAUUGAAUGAACUGUGGACAUAUUGAAGAGUCAGUUCAGCUCUUUCUUUCCUAGCUGUCAUAGCUGACAAAGCUAUGCUAUCAAACAAUUUCAACUAUUAUUUUUAAGUUCUUAGAUCUGACUUCUUCUUUACAGAGCUGAAAAAAUUGGCAUAAUUUUGUUUGUUUAAACUGUAGAGUAGGUGGCAUGGGAAUCUUGGCAUUUUCCUACAAGGAACAAAUUAUGACAUUUCAACAUUAGAAGCAGUAGUAGUUUUGCCAAUUUGACUACACUU